CCUACGGGGGGCAGCAGUGAGGAAUAUUGGUCAAUGGGCGGGAGCCUGAACCAGCCAAGUCGCGUGAGGGAAGACGGCCCUAUGGAUUGUAAACCUCUUUUGGCGGGGAGCAAUGCCGGGCACGCGUGCCCGGAGGGAGAGUACCCGCAGAAUAAGCAUCGGCUAACUCCGUCCCAGCAGCCGCGGGAAUACGGAGGAUGCGAGCGUUAUCCGGAUUUAUUGGGUUUAAAGGGUGCGUAGGCGGGGUUUUAAGUCAGCGGUAAAAUGUCGGGGCUCAACCCGGGCCGGCCGUUGAAACUGGGGAUCUUGAGUGGGCGAGAGGUAUGCGGAAUGCGUGGUGUAGCGGUGAAAUGCAUAGAUAUCACGCAGAACUCCGAUUGCGAAGGCAGCGUACCGGCGCCCGACUGACGCUGAGGCACGAAAGCGUGGGGAUCGAACAGGAUUAGAUACCCGGGUAGUC
rnacentral:rRNA from 1 species